UUGUGAUUGGUGGAGGGAAGGGCCUGACUGAUCCGUGAGACAAUGGCUUUAAACACCUUGUUGAAUGUCUGCUCAAUGCUGGGAAGAGGAAAGAAGCAGCUGUCAUGGCGAAGGUCACCUCUGAUUUUAUACAGUCACAUAAACCAGAGCUUUAUCCUCGGCUUUUACCGUACAGAACUGACAUGUUUUUGGCUCAUAUCUUAUUUAGUUGUUCUUAAUGUGAAUGUCAGUGUGUAUAGUCAUGUGUAGAUUGUCAUAGUGUGUAAUGUCAGUAGAUUGUUGUAAAUAAAGUCACUUUGUUCCUC